rnacentral:rRNA from 1 species
UACAGAGGGUGCGAGCGUUAAUCGGAAUUACUGGGCGUAAAGCGUGUGUAGGUGGUUAGAUAAGUUAGAUGUGAAAUCCCCGGGCUUAACCUGGGCACUGCGUUUAAGACUGUUUAGCUAGAGUACUGUAGAGGAUAGUGGAAUUUCCAGUGUAGCGGUGAAAUGCGUAGAUAUUGGAAGGAACACCAGUGGCGAAGGCGACUAUCUGGACAGAUACUGACACUGAGACACGAAAGCGUGGGGGGCAAACAGG